rfam:Erysiphe necator strain c c-strain-scaffold_7814, whole genome shotgun sequence.
UCUUUGAUGGUCUAACGGUUAUGAUUUCCGCUUGUCACUCGUGACACUUCGCGGGAGACCGGGGUUCGACUCCCCGUCAGAGAG